GACGAACGCUGGCGGCGCGCCUAACACAUGCAAGUCGAACGGAGCUUAGAGAGCUUGCUUUUUAAGCUUAGUGGCGAACGGGUGAGUAACGCGUGAGUAACCUGCCCUAGAGUGGGGGACAACAGUUGGAAACGACUGCUAAUACCGCAUAAAGCCCACGGUACCGCAUGGCACUGAGGGAAAAGGAUUUAUUCGCUUUAGGAUGGACUCGCGUCCAAUUAGCUAGUUGGUGAGGUAACGGCCCACCAAGGCGACGAUUGGUAGCCGGACUGAGAGGUUGAACGGCCACAUUGGGACUGAGACACGGCCCAGACUCCUACGGGAGGCAGCAGUGGGGGAUAUUGCACAAUGGGGGAAACCCUGAUGCAGCGACGCCGCGUGGAGGAAGAAGGUUUUCGGAUUGUAAACUCCUGUCGUUAGGGACGAUAAUGACGGUACCUAACAAGAAAGCACCGGCUAACUACGUGCCAGCAGCCGCGGUAAAACGUAGGGUGCAAGCGUUGUCCGGAAUUACUGGGUGUAAAGGGAGCGCAGGCGGGAAGACAAGUUGGAAGUGAAAACCAUGGGCUCAACCCAUGAAUUGCUUUCAAAACUGUUUUUCUUGAGUAGUGCAGAGGUAGAUGGAAUUCCCGGUGUAGCGGUGGAAUGCGUAGAUAUCGGGAGGAACACCAGUGGCGAAGGCGGUCUACUGGGCACCAACUGACGCUGAGGCUCGAAAGCAUGGGUAGCAAACAGGAUUAGAUACCCUGGUAGUCCAUGCCGUAAACGAUGAUUACUAGGUGUUGGGGGAUUGACCCCCUCAGUGCCGCAGGUAACACAAUAAGUAAUCCACCUGGGGAGUACGACCGCAAGGUUGAAACUCAAAGGAAUUGACGGGGGCCCGCACAAGCAGUGGAGUAUGUGGUCUAAUUCGAAGCAACGCGAAGAACCUUACCAGGUCUUGACAUCCGAUGCAUAACACAGAGAUGUGUGAAAUCCUUCGGGACAUCGAGACAGGUGGUGCAUGGUUGUCGUCAGCUCGUGUCGUGAGAUGUUGGGUUAAGUCCCGCAACGAGCGCAACCCUUAUUGCCAGUUACUACGUUAAGAGGACUCUGGCGAGACUGCCGUUGACAAAACGGAGGAAGGUGGGGAUGACGUCAAAUCAUCAUGCCCUUUAUGACCUGGGCUACACACGUACUACAAUGGCGUUAAACAAAGAGAAGCAAGACCGCGAGGUGGAGCAAAACUCAAAAACAACGUCUCAGUUCAGAUUGCAGGCUGCAACUCGCCUGCAUGAAGUCGGAAUUGCUAGUAAUCGCGGAUCAGCAUGCCGCGGUGAAUACGUUCCCGGGCCUUGCACU
rnacentral:rRNA from 1 species